rnacentral:rRNA from 1 species
AGGCAGCAGUGAGGGAAUAUCGGGCAAUGGGCGAGAGCCUGACCCAGCCAUGCCGCGUGCAGGAAGACGGCCUUCUGGGUUGUAAACUGCUUUUAUCAGGGAAGAAAGAGGCACUGCGGUGCCAGUUGACUGUACCUGAUGAAUAAGCACCGGCUAACUCCGUGCCAGCAGCCGCGGUAAUACGGAGGGUGCAAGCGUUGUCCGGAUUUAUUGGGUUUAAAGGGUGCGUAGGCGGAUUAUUAAGUCAGUGGUGAAAGUCUGCGGCUCAACCGCAGGAGUGCCAUUGAUACUGGUAGUCUUGAGUACAGUAGAGGUAGGCGGAAUUUAUGGUGUAGCGGUGAAAUGCAUAGAUACCAUAAAGAACACCGAUAGCGUAGGCAGCUUACUAUACUGUAACUGACGCUGAGGCACGAAAGCGUGGGGAUCGAACAGGAUUAGAUACCCUGGUAGUCCACGCUGUAAACGAUGAAGACUCGCUGUUGGCGAUAUACUGUCAGCGGCCAAGCGAAAGCGUUAAGUCUUCCACCUGGGGAGUACGACCGCAAGGUUGA